GCGGUUCCGAAUCUGUAUGCCUUUUCCUCAGUGAAGAAAAUCUCUGUUGGCUGCGAGCAGAGAAGCGGCGGAAGGAUUCCCGACUCCGGGAAGCCAGGUGUCGGAAGGAGGAAGUACGCUUGAAGGGGGUCCGGCUGGCCGACUCUGCACUCGUCCGUUCGUGGCCCACCGUGGUGGUCACCAAAUUGAGGGCUUCCUGGAAGGACCUCCUCACGGUGCCCAUCCACUGGGUCAUGUGGGUCUGGGCCACUGUGAGUUUAUCUCCCAGGUGGAGCAACACCGUCAGUCAGAAGGCAGCGGAUGGCACAGGGCUUCCGCGUAAGGCCUGCAUCGCCUGAGUCAUGGUUUUCUCAUCUUGUAUGAGGCCCACCCCCUUCAAAAGUCUUCCCCUCCAGGUCCCGAGCCUGUGGGCGGCAGGGACGUGUCCU
rnacentral:lncRNA from 10 species